rnacentral:rRNA from 1 species
UAUCAGCUGUUGGUGAGGUAAUGGCCCACCAAGCGAUACAGUACGGGCUCUGAGAGAGAAGCCCGAGAUGGGUACUGAGACACGGACCCAGGCCCUAUGGGGCGCAGCAGGCGAGAAACCUUAGCAAUGUGCGAAAGCACGACUGGGUCAGUCCGAGUGAUUCCUGAUAAAGGAGUCUUUUGCCUGUCCUAAAAACACAGGUGAAUAAGGGGUGGGCAAGUCUGGUGUCAGCCGCCGCGGUAAUACCAGCACCUCGAGUGGUCAGGACGUUUAUUGGGCCUAAAGCAUCCGUAGCCGGCGCUGCAAGUCUUCGGUUAAAUCCACCUGCUCAACAGAUGGGCUGCUGGAGAUACUACAGCGCUAGGGAGUGGGAGAGGCAGACGGUAUUCAGUGGGUAAGGGUAAAAUCCUCUGAUCCAUUGAGGACCACCAGUGGCGAAGGCGGUCUGCCAGAACACGUUCGACGGUGAGGGAUGAAAGCUGGGGGAGCAAACCGGAUUAGAUACCCGGGUAGUCCCAGCUGUAAACGAUGCAAACUCGGUGAUGCAUUGGCUUAUGGCCAAUGCAGUGCCGCAGGGAAGCCGUUAAGUUUGCCGCCUGG